UACGUAGGGACCGAGCGUUGUCCGGAAUCAUUGGGCGUAAAGAGCGUGUAGGCGGCUUGCUAAGUCUUGCGUGAAAUCUCGGGGCUCAACCCCCGAGCGGUCGUGGGAAACUGGCAGGCUAGAGUGCGGGAGAGGAGAAUGGAAUUCCUGGUGUAGCGGUGAAAUGCGUAGAUAUCGAGAGGAACACCUGCGGCGAAGGCGGGUUGCUGGGCCGACACUGACGCUGAGGCGCGAAAGCGUGGGGAGCGAACAGG
rnacentral:rRNA from 1 species